GGGUGCGUAACGCGUGGGAAUCUGCCCUUGGGUUCGGAAUAACAGUUGGAAACGACUGCUAAUACCGGAUGAUGACGAAAGUCCAAAGAUUUAUCGCCCAAGGAUGAGCCCGCGUAGGAUUAGCUAGUUGGUGGGGUAAAGGCCUACCAAGGCGACGAUCCUUAGCUGGUCUGAGAGGAUGAUCAGCCACACUGGGACUGAGACACGGCCCAGACUCCUACGGGAGGCAGCAGUAGGGAAUAUUGGACAAUGGGGGCAACCCUGAUCCAGCAAUGCCGCGUGAGUGAUGAAGGCCUUAGGGUUGUAAAGCUCUUUUACCCGGGAUGAUAAUGACAGUACCGGGAGAAUAAGCCCCGGCUAACUCCGUGCCAGCAGCCGCGGUAAUACGGAGGGGGCUAGCGUUGUUCGGAAUUACUGGGCGUAAAGCGCACGUAGGCGGCGAUUUAAGUCAGAGGUGAAAGCCCGGGGCUCAACCCCGGAACUGCCUUUGAGACUGGAUUGCUUGAAUCCGGGAGAGGUGAGUGGAAUUCCGAGUGUAUAGGUGAAAUUCGUA
rnacentral:rRNA from 1 species